GUCCCCUCAUGGAUGCCUUCCCAGCCUGAGACUCCUGAAGCCCCAGCCUCAGGGAUUUUCUUUCCACUAAGCUCUGAACAAGAAGCUGAAGCUCAAGGAAGGAGGUUCUGGGACUCAUCUCGGAUCCCAUGGCCAGGAAGCGGCGGCCACUCUGGAAUUCCUGACCCUGCCCAGACCAGCACCUUCCACAGCAGAGACCCCCUCCAAGGAGCGGGCGACGUGUGACUUCCCCAUGGGUGGACUCUGGGCUGCAGCGAUCGGCUAGCGGUGCCAUCUUUAGUCUGGGAGCUGUGUGAAGCCUGCUCCCCACCUUCCCCCUCCUGCAAAUAUUGGGGGAGGGGCACGGAGGAGAGGAAAAUAGAAGCAAAAGUGGCAGUGAUGGGUGCAUGAGAGAUUGGGAGAUACGUGCUGGGGAGGGGUUCCCCGGAGCAGAGCUGGCUGCCCUUGGCACUGGGCCCAGGCGGAGGAGUAGCAGGACCAACAGUUCCUGGAGCACAAGUCCAUCAACAAGUGCCCAGUGCCAGCCAUCGCCAUGUGCUCAUCUGCCCGCAGCAAAAUGAGAAAAAUAAGGACAAUAUAGUGAGGUUUUACUAAAGCUAGGUUUACUGAAUCCAAAAAACUGUCCUUUUAUCUGAGCUUUGUAUUUUCAAUCGUGUGUGUGUCUGUGUGUGUGUGAGCACAAAAGGACCUUUCCUUUGACAUUUCCUUUUAAUGACCUCAAACUCAGCAAAAUAAAAAAAACUGGUGACUA
rnacentral:lncRNA from 1 species